rnacentral:rRNA from 1 species
ACUGCCCGGGAUAACUACUGGAAACGGUAGCUAAUACCGCAUAACGUCGCAAGACCAAAGAGGGGGACCCUCGGGCCUCUUGCCAUCGGAUGUGCCCAGAUGGGAUUAGCUUGUUGGUGGGGUAACGGCUCACCAAGGCGACGAUCCCUAGCUGGUCUGAGAGGAUGACCAGCCACACUGGAACUGAGACACGGUCCAGACUCCUACGGGAGGCAGCAGUGGGGAAUAUUGCACAAUGGGCGCAAGCCUGAUGCAGCCAUGCCGCGUGUAUGAAGAAGGCCUUCGGGUUGUAAAGUACUUUCAGCGGGGAGGAAGGGAGUAAAGUUAAUACCUUUGCUCAUUGACGUUACCCGCAGAAGAAGCACCGGCUAACUCCGUGCCAGCAGCCGCGGUAAUACGGAGGGUGCAAGCGUUAAUCGGAAUUACUGGGCGUAAAGCGCACGCAGGCGGUUUGUUAAGUCAGAUGUGAAAUCCCCGGGCUCAACCUGGGAACUGCAUCUGAUACUGGCAAGCUUGAGUCUCGUAGAGGGGGGUAGAAUUCCAGGUGUAGCGGUGAAAUGCGUAGAGAUCUGGAGGAAUACCGGUGGCGAAGGCGGCCCCCUGGACGAAGACUGACGCUCAGGUGCGAAAGCGUGGGGAGCAAACAGGAUUAGAUACCCUGGUAGUCCACGCCGUAAACGAUGUCGACUUGGAGGUUGUGCCCUUGAGGCGUGGCUUCCGGAGCUAACGCGUUAAGUCGACCGCCUGGGGAGUACGGCCGCAAGGUUAAAACUCAAAUGAAUUGACGGGGGCCCGCACAAGCGGUGGAGCAUGUGGUUUAAUUCGAUGCAACGCGAAGAACCUUACCUGGUCUUGACAUCCACGGAAGUUUUCAGAGAUGAGAAUGUGCCUUCGGGAACCGUGAGACAGGUGCUGCAUGGCUGUCGUCAGCUCGUGUUGUGAAAUGUUGGGUUAAGUCCCGCAACGAGCGCAACCCUUAUCCUUUGUUGCCAGCGGUCCGGCCGGGAACUCAAAGGAGACUGCCAGUGAUAAACUGGAGGAAGGUGGGGAUGACGUCAAGUCAUCAUGGCCCUUACGACCAGGGCUACACACGUGCUACAAUGGCGCAUACAAAGAGAAGCGACCUCGCGAGAGCAAGCGGACCUCAUAAAGUGCGUCGUAGUCCGGAUUGGAGUCUGCAACUCGACUCCAUGAAGUCGGAAUCGCUAGUAACCGUGGAUCAGAAUGCCACGGUGAAUACGUUCCCGGGCCUUGUACACACCGCCCGUCACACCAUGGGAGUGGGUUGCAAAAGAAGUAGGUAGCUUAACCUUCGGGAGGGCGCUUACCACUUUGUGAUUCAUGACUGGGGUGAAGUCGUAACAAGGUAACCGUAGGGGAACCUGCGGUUG